AGCAAAGCAAACGAACCCUAGGCUCCUCUUCUAAAUCACCCCAAUGGUAAAUCCAGCUGGCAUGGAACAUUUUUGGCUAAAUUCCAAUGCCUUCAAGCUUUCACAGUCUUGGUUUCACCAUUUUGGGAAAAGUUAUUUAUUGUUCUUGUCUUAUUCCAUCAACGAUCAAAUUCAAAACGGUAACUUGCUUUUUCCUCAAAUCUUUUUUAUUUUUCUUUUUUGUUUUCGGAUUUCUAUCCAAACUAAAAUGAAAUUCAAGUUUGAAAUCCGUCCCAUAUCGGUCUUGAACCAAAAAAUUGGAUAUUUUGGGUCCUAUAUAAAGAACCCAUCUCUUCAUUCUCAGGGAUAGGUUUUUUGACACCACAAAAUUGGUUUUUGACAACCACAAUAGAUUUUUACACCAUCAAUGAGGUUUUCACACCCCCAAGUUCUGAAAUUUUGAAUUGCUUGGCUUUGAACAAGAAAUUUUCUCUUAUAAGUCGAGUCCUUGAAUUAUCAGAACAAGUUAAAUAUUUUUUUUUAGUUCGAGUUAGUUAUCGUGUUGGUGAAAGUUCGAAGGUGAUCGACUCAACUUUUGUCGCCCCCGUCGCUGCUCCCGAAAAAGUCCAAUUGGACUUAUGUAUUGUCCCUGCAUUAUGUGUUGGGCUUGGGGUCUAACACAAUACUCUCAGUCUGUCAAGUCAGUCCAGCAAUACAAACAGAAGCAGCAACAGCAGCGAAAGAAAAUGAAUAGGCCACAGCCCACUAAAGUAGCAGCAGCCCAAUUCACAGAAAGAAAAAGAGCGGAAUAGACGCAAUAAAGGUCCAAGAAGGCGAAGAGAUACGAUUAGCUAAUCUAACAUUUCUCCACCUUCCCCUUCUCUAUCCCUCUCUUUAUUUAUCUUUUGCAAUUUGUAUACAUGUAUAUACUUGCAAACACAAGUAUUAUUGAAAA